CAGAAGUGUUUGUUUAUUUGUUCGUUUUCUGCCAUGUUCAGAAUUGCAUGCAUGCUUUUAUUGCUAUAAAAUGUGCUUUAGAAAAUCAUGUGUUCAUAAUUGCAUGCAUAAUUUUGUAGGUGAACAUACAGAAAAUGCAAGAUAAAACAUACUUUUGAUUGUAUACCUCAACCUAACAUGAUCCUAAUAUAACAACUAUUACACUUUUAGAGAAGAUAAAGAUCCAGAAUUGUUCGUACCUAGAGGAACUCGCCUUCUUGAUGCUGUUGUGAUUUUCCUCCAGGUCUGCUGUUGUGAUGGCCGAAGGAAGAGCAAGGAGGGGGAGGAGGGAUGGCAGAGGAGGUUAACAUCUAUAGCUUUUAUUAUGAAGCUAAGCUUCUAGACACACAUCUGAUCUGGUAGUUAUUUGUAUGAGUUGACAAGACAUUCGACAUGAAGCUAUUAGAAUACACAUCGUUCGACUGGUAUGACAUAUUUUCUUCUGUCUUGAACUCGUCGUGCUCCUGGUAACAUGGGAUUUCCUUGCUACUAAUGUAUCGUAUUGCAUAUGUCUGUUUUCAGUGUAAAUGUGUUCUUUGAUCAACCAAACCUUGGUGAAUGUACAAUCAGGGGGAGCCUUGAUGCCUUCUCAUGUAAGAGUAAGAUCCAAAAAAAAUGAUAACUUGAGUCCAUUACAUCAUGACAAUAGGGUCAAGCUCCACUUUAAUUUGCAGGCAAAGCAUGCAGGAAAUGAUUGUUGGCUUUCAAUAAGCUUUGAAUAUGAGGUACAUACUUUCCAUCAGCCUAUGAUUUACGACAACUGCUUUUCUUUUAGCGCUGAUGUUGAUAAGUAGGCAUUGACGUGUUAGUUAUAUAUAGUUCGUAUUGCCAAAUAUGUAGUUCAUGACUUGUUCUCAUUGACGUGAUAUUUCGAGUUCUAGUUGACAUAUCUUGGAUACAGUUAUACGAAACGAGGAAUUAUAGGGUGCGUCGCAAAACAAAUGUUCAAUAUAUCCAAAACAACAAAACAACAAAAA